GAUGAACGCUGGCGGCGUGCCUAAUACAUGCAAGUCGAGCGAACAGACGAGGAGCUUGCUCCUCUGACGUUGGCGGCGGACGGGUGAGUAACACGUGGAUAACCUACCUAUAAGACUGGGAUAACUUCGGGAAACCGGAGCUAAUACCGGAUAAUAUAUUGAACCGCAUGGUUCAAUAGUGAAAGACGGUUUUGCUGUCACUUAUAGAUGGAUCCGCGCCGCAUUAGCUAGUUGGUAAGGUAACGGCUUACCAAGGCAACGAUGCGUAGCCGACCUGAGAGGGUGAUCGGCCACACUGGAACUGAGACACGGUCCAGACUCCUACGGGAGGCAGCAGUAGGGAAUCUUCCGCAAUGGGCGAAAGCCUGACGGAGCAACGCCGCGUGAGUGAUGAAGGUCUUCGGAUCGUAAAACUCUGUUAUUAGGGAAGAACAAAUGUGUAAGUAACUAUGCACGUCUUGACGGUACCUAAUCAGAAAGCCACGGCUAACUACAUG
rnacentral:rRNA from 1 species